rnacentral:lncRNA from 14 species
AUGAAGCCUAGGAAUAACUGCCUUCUAGAACUAUCUCUGCUGUUGGAUCACCAAAUGCCCGCUUGCAAAUCACUGAACUUCACCGUUCCUCAGUGUAAUUGCAUGCCAGCUGGACUCAAUGCAUUUUACCCACUGUGCAGAGGACUAGUAAUAAUAACAAAUCUAAUCCAGCAAGAACCACUGGAUAUGGAAAGGAUACUGGAAGAAAGACCCACCCCACUGGAGCUGACAGGGGAAGAACUGGUUCUUUGCUGUCUGUACCGUGAGGAAUGCCUCACAGAGCUGAGGAUUAAAUGUGGCUGUUUUAAACAGAUUGCUUUUUCUUUAAAGUGAUGUUAGUUAAACAAAGCUAUCGUUUCCUAUCACAAUAUUUAUGCUUGCUACUAGCUCUUCUGUCUCCAAGUCACUUGCUAGUGCAAGGUGGUGAUCAGAAAGGAGGAAAGUCUGUGCUUUGGGCCUUUCUUAUUUAUGAAACACUGGAAGAAAGAUUAAGUAGCAUUAAUUCAUCUUACAAUGUUUUCACAGCAGGAAAAAAAAGUUGGCAAAAAGUAUAUUAUACAAGCUCAGUCAGCCAGCUCCCAGGAUUGUACUGCUAUUUGCCCUGGGCCAAUUAUAUUUUACAUGAUCAACACACCCAAUAAUUAAAUAAUGAAUUGGUUUCUUUUGGAAACUCUAUAAAACGUCAUGGACCAGAGAAUAUUUAUCUUGCCUCUGUGAUUCCUGCUGAAGAAACAUCUGGUUCUUUUUUCUUCAAUCAACAUGAAGCCUGAAGGGGCCCAAAUUCAAAAGCAAUUAUAUUUUAUGUCAUUUAUGUGCAUUACAGAAUGACAAAUUUAACUUGUUGGAAUAUGCGAUCCCACCCUCCCCAUGCAAUUCGUGUUGAUCACAUUUCAGACAGCCAUAGAAAAAGCUGUUGCAGCUUGAUAAAAGUUGUUGAUCUAUCAACUCCUAUAACUUCAUUGCCAGAGUUUACAAUAACGAGGUACUUGUUCUGACAUAAAAGCUGCCACUUGACUGUGCCUUCCUUCUGCAUGGAUUAUUGGCAGGGAGCUGGAAACGUCUCUUUGUAUGCACCUUGUAGCAGGUCCUUCAAGAGCUUUCAGCCUUCAUCUGAUUUUAAGAGUAGCACACUUGUUUCCUUUGAAAACAGUUCUUACUUUGAAAACGAUAGAAAACUUCCAUGAAAGAAAGACCACAGAUGUAAAUUCUGGGUGAUAUAACUUUCCAUUUCUCAUAGAAGGCCUAUAUUGAUACUAAAGCUUUGUCAUUUCAGACACUAUAUUAUACAGAGCAGUGAUACCCAUAAUGCUUGCUCAUAAGCAUGAAGGUAGGC